rnacentral:rRNA from 1 species
GCCUGAGAAACGGCUACCACAUCCAAGGAAGGCAGCAGGCACGCAAAUUACCCAAUCCCAGCCCUGGGAGGUAGUGACGAAAAAUAACAAUGCGGGACUCUUCCGAGUCUGCGUAAUUGGAAUGAGCACACUUUAAAUCCUUUAGCAACAACCAAUUGGAGGGCAAGUCUGGUGCCAGCAGCCGCGGUAAUUCCAGCUCCAAUAGCGUAUAUUAAAGUUGUUGCGGUUAAAAAGCUCGUAGUCCGAGUUCAGUUCCGGACUGGCCGGGGAGGUCACCGCCCGGUGCUUCCCCGUCAGGCUCCGAACAGCUUUUAUGACUAAAAGCCAAGCCGGUUUUCGCCGGGGUGCUCUUCACCGAGUGUCCCGCGCGGCCGGCCAGUUCACCUUGAAUAAAUGAGAGUGCUCAAAGCAGGCUACUCUUAAAAAUAAAGCCCGAAUGUUACCUGCAUGGAAUGAUGGAAGAUGAUCUCGGUUCCAUUUUAUUGGUUCUGGGAGUCCGAGUUAAUGAUAAACAGGGACUGUCGGGGGCAUCCGUACUACGACGCGAGAGGUGAAAUUCAGUGACCGUCGUAGGACGAACAACAGCGAAAGCAUUUGCCAAGAAUGUCUUCGUUGAUCAAGAACGAAAGUUAGAGGAUCGAAGGCGAUCAGAUACCGCCCUAGUUCUAACCCUAAACGAUGCUGACUAGCAAUCCGCCGUCGUUAUUCCCAUGACGUGGCGGGACGCCCCCGGGAAACCUCAAGUCUUUGAGUUCCGGGGGUAGUAUGGUUGCAAAACUGAAACUUAAAGGAAUUGACGGAAGGGCACCACCAGGAGUGGAGCCUGCGGCUUAAUUUGACUCAACACGGGAAACCUCACCAGGCCCGGACACCAGAAGGAUUGACAGAUUAAGAGCUCUUUCUCGAUUUGGUGGGUGGUGGUGCAUGGCCGUUCUUAGUUGGUGGAGUGAUUUGUCUGGUUAAUUCCGGUAACGAACGAGACUCUGGCCUACUAAAUAGUCGACGUGGGUUUUGGUGCAUGGGCCCCGUUCGACAAUGUCUUCUUAGAGGGAUGAGCAGCGAGUAUAGCUGCAGGAGAUUGAGCAAUAACAGGUCUGUGAUGCCCUUAGAUGUCCUGGGCCGCACGCGCGCUACACUGAAUGGGUUAGCGGGUUCUCCUUCUCCGAGAGGAGAGGGAAAUCGCGUGAAAACCAUUCGUGAUAGGGAUUGGGGCUUGCAAUUGUUUCCCAUGAACGAGGAAUUCCCAGUAAGCGCAAGUCAUCAGCUUGCGUUGAUUAAGUCCCUGCCCUUUGUACACACCGCCCGUCGCUACUACCGAUUGAAUGAUUUAGUGAGGCCUUCGGACUGGCGGUCUUGGACUGGGCUCCACUCGCCAUCACUCCAGCAAUGGGGGGCGGUGGACUCGCCAUGACGAGCCGGAAAGAUGUCCAAACUUGAUCAUUUAGAGGAAGUAAAAGUCGUAACAAGGUUUCC